rnacentral:lncRNA from 1 species
CCAAUCCUUGAUUUCAGGGAACACAAAAUCAAAUUGGAGACUAGAGACACAUGAGGGCGUAAUUGAGAAGAUAAGAGAAUAUAUGAUAGAUAAUGAAUGAGCAGCAAUUCAGAGUCGUGAAAACACUCUUUUUUUUUGUUUUUUUGGUGAGGAAGCUUGGCCCUGAGCUAGCAUCUAUUGCCAAUCUUCCUCUUUUUUUUUUUUCUCCCCAAAGCCCCAGUGCAUAGUUGUAUAUCCUAGUUAUAAGUCCUUCUAAUUCUUAUACCUGGGAUGCCACCACAGCAUGGCUUGAUGAGCGGCGCUAGGUCCACACCCAGGAUCCGAACCGGUGAACCCUGGGCCACUGAAGCAGAGUGAACUGAUCUGAAGGUUGACGCCCAUCAGUCUACAUGAGACUUUAUUCCACAGAUAACAGACAACCGUGGAGGAUUUUCAGCGUAGUAAUUGUGCAGUGUCAAGAUGACCCUGAUAACAAGAGCAGUGACGCUUUAUUGACUGGACCAAGUGCCUUGUGUGUGUCAACUUGUUCAACUCUCAUCAUCUAAAGAUCGGGUAAUAUUAGCUCCAUCUGUAUUGACUGAAGCUCUAAGAGGCUAAGGAAAUUACUCAAAUCACACAGUUAUCAAACGGCUUAGCCAAGACUUGAACCCUGGUGUGUUUUAAUUCAAUUUCUGUACUUCCCUCCCUCGGGGAUUCACUGGUGGUGACAAGAAGCAUGGACAGGACAACACUUGGACCAUUUGCAGCCCUUACGCUUGGGUGUCUGAAAUAUGAAAAUGCAGAUUUGCCAAUCUGUGACUCAAGCAGAGACUUAGUGAUGAAAAGACAUACACUUCCUCUCACCAUGUGUUUUCAACACUGCCUCUCCCGAGCCUGGGACCCCUCCAAGGAUGAAUUGCUUGGAAUAUGAGGACAAAAUGGAGAAGUGUUCCGUCCAUUACUGUAAGAUCAAGUCUGACUUCAUCUCCGUCUUCAAUUAAUCAUUCUCAAUCAGAUAACUCCAAGAGGUGUCAGGUUUUGCUCGAUGAACUCAAAAGGAAAAUCUGUUUCCUAUCCUCUUCAGACUUACUUAUCUGAAUAUUUGCGUUUAGUAUUUGACCAAUGCUAAUGUCUACUGUUGGGUGUCGUGAUAGUAAACCCACAAAUUCUUUCCAUCUUUAGACAAAUGUUUCACUGUGUAUUAAUUUUGAUUCAUCUCAAUAAUGGUGAUAAUAUAACAUUCAUUUGAGGUUUCGGUAGCUAGUACUUGCAUCUUGACACAAAUUGCUUUAUAAUUCAGUCUUUAUUUUCUGGUUGCCUGAAAUAGUAUCCUCAGUAGCUAAGGCCUUUCGUCAAAAAACUGCUCCCAAAUAUUGUGUUCUAAUGCCGCUUUAUUUGCUGUGGAGCAGAGUUUUAGUGAACUCAUGGAAGGUUUGAAAUCCAACGUCCAUCCACUGCUGAACCACCGGGAGCAAUAAAUGGCCUUUUCCUGUUGGUGAUUGAAUAACAGAGUGCAGCUGAGGCAUCUCGUAAUCACCAGGACCAAAUAUGCUACUGAAUGAAUUCUCCUACUGUGGGAGAAAUCUUUCUAACACACAGGAGGAAAGGAGGAAAGAAACCAGCCUCUCAAAGCUGUGGGCUGUGGCAGGACCGUGAUGGUUAUCUUCCUGGGGGAUCAUCAACAUCCCCUAAAGGUGGAAUGACUGGCUCAGCUGAAUGGGCCAGGGAACACGAAUCUGAAAUCAAACGUUGGUUGAAGGGCACAGUCAAUGAGGAAAGGCAGCGGAUGUAUGUGGACAAUCACGUGUGCCGGGGUGUAAGUUUGGUUCAUUUGGAAUUGAGAGCAGCUGAAUCUCCUUGUUGCUCAGUGAUCAACACAUCUUCUGGGAAAACCAUCCCGUUUCAGACAACUUCCAGCCUGAGGAUUCGGCAGGACUCUCUCCCUCUCACAUAAUUUCACUUCCUUAGCGUGUCACUGGAUGAGCAGCGUCAGCCUCCUGUGGAGCUCAUUAGAAAUGCGGGCUCUCAGGCUCCAUUGCAGACCUGUGGCAUCAGAAUCUGCUUUUUAGUAGGAUUCCAAGGCCGCUACAGCAGACAGAGCUUCCAGGCCGUCUACACUAUUGCCACAGCUCUCAUAGACUCCCCAGGCCUUGACCGUGAAGGAUGACAAGUGCUCAGUUGAUGGAGACGGGUGGAGGGGGCAUGGUCUGGGCCAGGGGGCUGUCACCAAGGAAGGGAUAUAGAAGCUUUCACUCCAGUGGCUAAAGGGACACUUGCAAUCUUGUCCUCGUCUGGGCUGGCAUUUGUGUCCAAAGGUCCACCCAGGUUAGUCAAGCCCUGGUUUUCCUGUUUGAAGCCUCAGCAGGAAUUCUGCUUCUUUUCUUCUGUCCUUUGGCUGAUCUUUUUGGCUGAUUGACCGCAACUCUGCCACAGGCACAGUCUGACGCAGGCCUGGUUAGCAGAGGUCUCCCUGAGAGGGAUCUCAUUGUCGUGAUCUACAGGAGCCAGGAAGAGGAGCCAGCCCUCGGAGGGGGCUGGUCAGCUGGGGCCAUGACAACAGGCCGCACUCAAAGGAACAGGUCCCCUUCAGCUCCAAAAGAUUGGCGUCAUCUGAGAAUGUGGACCCAGCGUGGGCAGAUUUUUCUAGUGUCUAGAAGUGACUGUGCAAACCCAAAACAAAACUAAAAAGACAUGUUUGUGGGCCACCAAGAACCUCUGGUAUGAAGUAAAUUAUACAGGCAUUGGACAGUAACAACCCAUCCAAGGGAGCUGUGGGCGGAGGUGUGGCAUCUGCUCAUUCCUGUUGUAGGGAGGUGAGCUCUACCACGGGGCAGUGGAGUGAACAAUGCCCGGAGAUUAUCCAAAACCCUUUGCUUUAAUUUUCCGCUCACCCAACAGACUUCUGCUUACUAAUUCAGGUUUACAACAAAGUUUAAAACCAGCAAGGGGGGGAUCUGGAUAAGGCACUAUACCUAUUUCGGUCCCCGGAAAGGGCUAUUCCUGCAUAUCAAUAAAUCAGCAUUCUGAUUUCCUACUGACCUCUUUGCUGAAUUUGUCUGCCUUGUAGAGCUUUGGGCAGCUCUGGGUAAGCUAACGAAAUAAAAUUCUGGUGCUGAAAAGCUGUUUGUGACCCUGAUCAACAGUGACCUAGGUUUGGUCACUGCUCCCUCUCCAGACACCAACCAGUGGGCUAUCUCUCUGUGAAUGUGGCAGGCACCAUUUUGCUGGGGAAGGAGGUUAAAUCUUCAGCCUUGUCAUAGACUCAGCUUUGUAAUUCAAGACUCUUUUCUCUCAUCCUUUGAUUUUCAGCCCCCAGACUUUUCUCUCCAUGUCCUUGCCCCCCGGCACUUCCAAUUGUCUAGCAACUAACUGUAUUUGGGCAUUCCCUGUCUUCCCAAAUUAUCUUUACUCUUCUUCCUUACUUCUUCAUCCUUCUCUUGUUUUAUUCCUUUCAUUACUUUUUGUUCUUUUAUUUUGCAAACUCACCUGCUUCCUCAGUGAUCUUUUUAAGAUCCCAUAUGUUACAGAUUCAUGAGGAUGGAAACAUUCCUUUAGAGCUGGGCUGACCAAUGUGGUAGCCGCUAGCUACACGUGAUUAUCGAACAUGUGAAAUGUGGCUUGUCUGAAAUGAGACGUGUGGUAAGCGUAAAAC